rnacentral:tRNA from 4 species
GGGCUGUUAGCUCAUUUGGCAGAGCGCCUGCUUUGCACGCAGGAGGUAAAGGGUUCAAUUCCCUUACAGUCCACCA